GUAGGGCCUUCGGCUGUGAAAGCGCCCCAGUAACGGGUCCGGCGGAUACGUGUGGUGUAGAACGACAUCGCGCCGCAUUUGGUCGUGGAUGAGACCUUGCAACCGCGCCCGCCGUUGUUGACGCACAGGGUCAGCGCGCGCGCCUCGGCCUCAUCCCGCGUUGCCUUCUGCCACACGGCGCCCCAGGCGCCGCGCGCGGCAAACCCGAUGGCGGCCCAUUGUUCGCCGGGAGGCUGGUUGGCUUUCUGUCUCAGGGCGUCCAGCCGUAUCCUGGCAAGGGCGGCGAAUGUGCCAUUCGGAUAUUUAUCGAGGUAGGCUGAGAU
rnacentral:misc_RNA from 1 species